GGGCGAGCCUAGUUCUCAAUCUCAACCCGUUUGCGCUGACGAGGCUCUUGAUCUGCUCAACUGCGUCACUAAGUCUCCUUUCGAUCAAGAAAAAUGUCUCCGUCUCUUGCAUUCCUUGCGAGAGUGCGUGCUGAACAAGGUGGCAAUAAUAUCUGACAAAGUUGUGGAUUUUAUGGUGGUAGCAAUUGCAGCUUGUGGUUAUCUAGCUUCGAGACAGUUACUGCUUUUAAAAUUAACUUGAGGAAACUUUUGAAUAAUGAAUUAGGGCUUGCCUUUUCUUUAAACAGAUAAUAAAGUUUGCCAACUGGGUUUGCACUUUAAAAAAUAAAUCUGAUCUAUUGCUGAGCUUUUAUCCGACUUGCUUAGGCAUGCUUGGCAAAUAAUUUAACUCAUCUAAGAGGCAAGGACCGUGACUUGACCUAUUUUACGUUUUGUUUGUAGAAGUCAGAUUCUUUUAGCCCUUAUUGUUGUGCAAAUUGCUUGCCUUAAUAAUUCCAUUUAUGUGGUGAAGCAUAGAAAGAAAAGUUCAUGUGACACAUUCUAUUUGGAUUUUGAUGUCGUGAAGACCUUUUCAAGACUAUUUCCAUAAAUUUCAAUAUGUUUCGUAAAGAUGUGGAUGGGAAUGGGUUUUCCAAUUCUUUAAUGUUAAAUAGUUGCCUCAAAAAUCUAAUUAUUUUUUUGUAUCAAAUCAUUGUUGCCUUCAAGGCAUAACAUAGUUUUUAUAUGAAUAUAUCUUAAUCGAUUCUCAUUA